GUUGGCGAUAAGAAGCGAGAUUAACGGAUUACUAAAAAAAAUGAACAAGGAAAAUUGUACUCCUGCGGGUUGCCAUUUUGUGAGUGUUGAGAAACAGGUGAAAAAAACCCCCAACUUGGAUUAUGAUCUUAACAACAAGCUGCUGUGAGUGAGCACACAUGUUCCAGUGUUCAGCCUACAUGUACAAACUGACUGGGGAUUUAGGAAUGAAACCCUCCCAGGGCGAGGCCUUCACCGAAGGCAUGACCACGGCCAGUGACUCGGGCAGGUCGGCGGCACUCUCCAUGGAGUUGGGCAGGCACUUGGGGCUGAGCGGGCUGCACGUGGAAGAGUCAGAGUUCUGCACGGUCCCACGGCCGAUGACCUCCACCCUCUGGCUCACGCUGCAGCUGGGAGGUAGGGCUAAGGAAGGGGAAGAAGGAUUAAACCACAAAAGCAGGGAAACUGUUAGGAAGGAUUUCAUAAUGGACUUAAAAAGACUGAGCAGCAGGUGUGUGAGGCGUCAUGGCGAGGGCACCUGGUGAGCGGGACCUAGGAGUCGUCCUCGUCCUCUGAGUCGCCGGGGAUGGUGAUGAUGCUGACAGCCAGGCUAGGCGUAUUGGAGAUGACGGGUUGCGAUGGGUUGACGGUGCCCCCAGACCCACCCCCACUGCCAGACAGGCUCUUGCUGCCAUCGAAGCCUGCACACUGCCACUUGCAGAGCUCCAUGAUCCGGUAGCAAGAUUUCAUACCGGCAGCGAGAGAGAGACACGGGCAGGGAGCAAGUUACAGGACUACCAGAGAAUCUGUGAUGCCAUCUGGAUUUCUAAAUUAAGAUGGUGUUCCUUAAAAAAUGUAAAUACACUGUGACGUGUAGAUUGGAAGGCCUGAAACUGGAAGAGGUGGGUCAUGGUGACACAGGUGGUUCAGGGUCUUCCUUUUGUCAGCAUCUAGCGUGAGCAUCUUCUUGAGCAGGUCGAUGACCUCCCGCCGGUCGGCCUUCUCAGCCAAGACCUCAGUGCCUUCCAGACUGGUCAUAUUGACCUGUGCGACAGACCCAUGGUUGUCAUAUUAUGGACCAGCAGAGGGUGCUGAUGCACCUAACAUGCAGCAAAUUACUUUGCACUGCUCUGCCUUUCACAGACGCUGUUCUCUAGGACUUGCGUGUGUUACUUAUUGUGACCGCACGAACGCUCGAGCUGUGAGCUAGCACCUUGCUCUACCUGCUCGAUAAUUUGAGCUGCAGGAGCUGUUCUUCAAUUUCACGUCACCACAGUAAAGAAAUGCAUGCGGUUAUGCACACAAAAACCCAAAUAACCUGCAUCAUGUCGUCAAAGCAGGUGAAAAUGCAUUUCCUAGUCUCUUUGGGAUUGAUGCCAAACUCCGGUUCAUGCUCCUCAGGAAAAGAAAAAACAAA